UGAACAUUGAGCCUUGAUGUGUAGGAUAGGUGGGAGGCUUUGAAGUGUGGACGCCAGUCUGCAUGGAGCCGACCUUGAAAUACCACCCUUUAAUGUUUGAUGUUCUAACGUGGACCCGUGAUCCGGGUUGCGGACAGUGUCUGGUGGGUAGUUUGACUGGGGCGGUCUCCUCCUAAAGAGUAACGGAGGAGCACGAAGGUUGGCUAAUCCUGGUCGGACAUCAGGAGGUUAGUGCAAUGGCAUAAGCCAGCUUGACUGCGAGCGUGACGGCGCGAGCAGGUGCGAAAGCAGGUCAUAGUGAUCCGGUGGUUCUGAAUGGAAGGGCCAUCGCUCAACGGAUAAAAGGUACUCCGGGGAUAACAGGCUGAUACCGCCCAAGAGUUCAUAUCGACGGCGGUGUUUGGCACCUCGAUGUCGGCUCAUCACAUCCUGGGGCUGAAGUAGGUCCCAAGGGUAUGGCUGUUCGCCAUUUAAAGUGGUACGCGAGCUGGGUUUAGAACGUCGUGAGACAGUUCGGUCCCUAUCUGCCGUGGGCGCUGGAGAACUGAGGGGGGCUGCUCCUAGUACGAGAGGACCGGAGUGGACGCAUCACUGGUGUUCGGGUUGUCAUGCCAAUGGCACU
rnacentral:rRNA from 1 species